rnacentral:lncRNA from 1 species
ACAGGAAAUGCCAUGUGAGAACACAUUAGCAAAGGAAGCAUUUAUUUCCAAGCUUGGUAUCCCAAGGAAUGGUAUAGAUGAAUGUAUAUGAAUCUUCCAUUGGCAUUCCCUCACCCAAGGCUGUAUGGAUCACAGACAGCUUAUUAAACAAGAUACGAAAGCAAAUGGUGGUAUUUUAGAAGACAUCUUUCUAGCACUCCAAAGUCAUGGAUUCCUAGGAUUAAAAGUGUCCUUGAGAGGUCAUUCUGGUUAACCUCUGUAGAUUCAGUUUCAUUCAAUAAACGCAAUGAGCCCCUAGAAUGUGACAGGCAUCAGGCUAGGAUUAUUGGUGGGGGCAUGUGUGUUUGGGACAUAGGCUUAUGAAAAAAAGAAAAAGAAGAAAAUAUCUGCCAUCAAGGAGUUUAUAUGCUGGUGGAAGAGCUAUUUGGGUACCCUUAGACUGAGGCAAGUGCGACGAGGUCGAUGUGAAUAAAAUACUCUAGGAGCAGUUUAGGAGGAGAACAUGUUAUUAGCCUGGGCAGCAGGGACCCAUUCAUAAAGAUGAGCUCAUUUUCAUUUCACUCAUUGAUCAAAAUCUAUUGACCAUCUUCUAUUUGCCAAAACCCUGUGCUAAGCAUUUUGGGGAUGCUAAAUACAAUAAUCAUGAUGCCCUCAUAGGCCCAAAGUCUAACAAAGAUGGCUGGAAAUUGCAGUGUCGUAAGUAUUCUUAAAUGUUGUUGUGUUUCCCUUCUUCAGAUAGACCUAUGUGUAGCUGCCCUGGAAUGCCUGUGGGAAGAGAUGACCCAAUACAAGCGAGAGAAUUGCCCAAUUUUGGAUUCCUCUUUCUCAAGUUGGAAAGAUAAGACUUUUUAUAUAGACGAUCAUGAGGGGCUGGUGUUGAUGUGUUGCUGCUCCUACUAAUCAUUUUUCUAACAUCUGGUGCUGUGGAAGAAACUCGGAAGAGAUGCAAAAGGAGUAGAUAAUGUACAGAUGGAACAUGGAUGGUGAGUCAUGUAGACUGGCUUUGCAUUCCAGGGCUGCAACUAUGCGAUCUUGGAAAUGUUGAUGAACUCUUUUGAGUCUCAAUUUCCUCAUGUAUAUAACAGAAAUUAUAACAUCGACUUUGUGAUUGUUGUUAGAAUAUAUGGAGACAGAAAAUCUAUGACCUAAUGGCACAGUUCCCGGUACUAAGUAGGUGCUUAAUAAAUGUUAGUCUCUCUUUUACUACUUUCUUUUC